rnacentral:rRNA from 1 species
GACGAACGCUGGCGGCGUGCUUAACACAUGCAAGUCGAACGGAAAGGCCCUGCUUUUGUGGGGUGCUCGAGUGGCGAACGGGUGAGUAACACGUGAGUAACCUGCCCUUGACUUUGGGAUAACUUCAGGAAACUGGGGCUAAUACCGGAUAGGAGCUCCUGCUGCAUGGUGGGGGUUGGAAAGUUUCGGCGGUUGGGGAUGGACUCGCGGCUUAUCAGCUUGUUGGUGGGGUAGUGGCUUACCAAGGCUUUGACGGGUAGCCGGCCUGAGAGGGUGACCGGCCACAUUGGGACUGAGAUACGGCCCAGACUCCUACGGGAGGCAGCAGUGGGGAAUAUUGCACAAUGGGCGGAAGCCUGAUGCAGCAACGCCGCGUGCGGGAUGACGGCCUUCGGGUUGUAAACCGCUUUCGCCUGUGACGAAGCGUGAGUGACGGGAAUGGGUAAAGAAGCAGCGGCUAACUACGU